UACAGAGGGUGCGAGCGUUAAUCGGAAUUACUGGGCGUAAAGCGCGCGUAGGCGACUUUGCAAGUCGGGUGUGAAAUCCCCAGGCUUAACCUGGGAACUGCAUUCGAGACUGCAUUGCUAGAGUAUGGGAGAGGGAAGUGGAAUUUCCGGUGUAGCGGUGAAAUGCGUAGAUAUCGGAAGGAACACCUGUGGCGAAAGCGGCGCACUGGACCAUAACUGACGCUGAGGCGCGAAAGCUAGGGGAGCAAACAGG
rnacentral:rRNA from 1 species